rnacentral:rRNA from 1 species
UUUGGUGUCCAUAGCACGAGAGAUACGCCUGUUUCCAUGUCGAACACAGAAGCUAAGCCUCGUCGCGUCGGAAGUAGUUGGGGGUUGCCCCCUGCGAGAUAGGAUCGAUGCCAGGC